GACGAACGCUGGCGGCGUGCUUAACACAUGCAAGUCGAACGGAAAGGCCCUGCUUUUGUGGGGUGCUCGAGUGGCGAACGGGUGAGUAACACGUGAGUAACCUGCCCUUGACUUUGGGAUAACUUCAGGAAACUGGGGCUAAUACCGGAUAGGAGCUCCUGCUGCAUAGUGGGGGUUGGAAAGUUUCGGCGGUUGGGGAUGGACUCGCGGCUUAUCAGCUUGUUGGUGGGGUAGUGGCUUACCAAGGCUUUGACGGGUAGCCGGCCUGAGAGGGUGACCGGCCACAUUGGGACUGAGAUACGGCCCAGACUCCUACGGGAGGCAGCAGUGGGGAAUAUUGCACAAUGGGCGGAAGCCUGAUGCAGCAACGCCGCGUGCGGGGUGACGGCCUUCGGGUUGUAAACCGCUUUCGCCUGUGACGAAGCGUGAGUGACGGUAAUGGGUAAAGAAGCACCGGCUAACUACGUG
rnacentral:rRNA from 1 species